UACGUAGGGGGCUAGCGUUGUCCGGAAUCAUUGGGCGUAAAGCGCGCGUAGGCGGUCAGGUAAGUCCGGUGUGAAAGUCAAAGGCUCAACCUUUGAAUGCCGCUGGAUACUGCCUGACUUGAGUCCGGAAGGGGCGAGUGGAAUUCCUGGUGUAGCGGUGGAAUGCGUAGAGAUCGGGAAGAACAUCGGUGGCGAAGGCGGCCAGCUGGGCCAUUGCUGACGCUGAUGCGCGACAGCGUGGGGAGCAAACAGG
rnacentral:rRNA from 1 species